rnacentral:rRNA from 1 species
UGGGGAAUUUUGGACAAUGGGCGAAAGCCUGAUCCAGCAAUGCCGCGUGUGUGAAGAAGGCCUUCGGGUUGUAAAGCACUUUUGUCCGGAAAGAAAUCCUUGGCUCUAAUACAGUCGGGGGAUGACGGUACCGGAAGAAUAAGCACCGGCUAACUACGUGCCAGCAGCCGCGGUAAUACGUAGGGUGCAAGCGUUAAUCGGAAUUACUGGGCGUAAAGCGUGCGCAGGCGGUUUGCUAAGACCGAUGUGAAAUCCCCGGGCUCAACCUGGGAACUGCAUUGGUGACUGGCAGGCUAGAGUAUGGCAGAGGGGGGUAGAAUUCCACGUGUAGCAGUGAAAUGCGUAGAGAUGUGGAGGAAUACCGAUGGCGAAGGCAGCCCCCUGGGCCAAUACUGACGCUCAUGCACGAAAGCGUGGGGGAGCAAACAGGAUUAGAUACCCUGGUAGUCCACGCCCUAAACGAUGUCAACUAGUUGUUGGGGAUUCAUUUCCUUAGUAACGUAGCUAACGCGUGAAGUUGACCGCCUGGGGAGUAC